rnacentral:lncRNA from 1 species
CUACAUCAGUGUGAUGUAUAUGUGAAACUUAACAUGGCCAACAGGAGAACAAGAGAUGGAUACAUACAGUAACGGAGGACCUUUGAGAUUACAGUGGGCCCACUCAGAAAAUACAGCUCCUCUCCUCAUAUCAAUAUUCUUGACUUAAUCACGUGUGCAAGUCCCUUUUACAAUAGGUUCAGGGAAGUUGAGUAACUUGUCCACAACAGAGCCAAAGGCCAGAAGUCUUACGAAUCCCGUUCUCUUAUCUCCUUUGUGGUAUCUUCUCACAUGAAGAAUGUUCAAAAUUAGUAUAACUCCACUGGAAAAUCAUAUAAUAAAAU